AGAGUUUGAUCCUGGCUCAGAUUGAACGCUGGCGGCAGGCCUAACACAUGCAAGUCGAGCGGUAGAGAGAAGCUUGCUUCUCUUGAGAGCGGCGGACGGGUGAGUAAUGCCUAGGAAUCUGCCUGGUAGUGGGGGAUAACGUUCGGAAACGGACGCUAAUACCGCAUACGUCCUACGGGAGAAAGCAGGGGACCUUCGGGCCUUGCGCUAUCAGAUGAGCCUAGGUCGGAUUAGCUAGUUGGUGGGGUAAUGGCUCACCAAGGCGACGAUCCGUAACUGGUCUGAGAGGAUGAUCAGUCACACUGGAACUGAGACACGGUCCAGACUCCUACGGGAGGCAGCAGUGGGGAAUAUUGGACAAUGGGCGAAAGCCUGAUCCACCCAUGCCGCGUGUGUGAAGAAGGUCUUCGGAUUGUAAAGCACUUUAAUUUGGGAGGAAGGGUUGUAGAUUAAUACUCUGCAAUUUUGACGUUACCGACAGAAUAAGCACCGGCUAACUCUGUGCCAGCAGCCGCGGUAAUACAGAGGGUGCAAGCGUUAAUCGGAAUUACUGGGCGUAAAGCGCGCGUAGGUGGUUAGUUAAGUUGGAUGUGAAAUCCCCGGGCUCAACCUGGGAACUGCAUUCAAAACUGACUAACUAGAGUAUGGUAGAGGGUGGUGGAAUUUCCUGUCGUAUCCGGUCAAAUGCGUUCUAUAUGAA
rnacentral:rRNA from 1 species